rnacentral:tRNA from 1 species
GAGGGUGUAGCUCAGGGGUAGAGUGCGUGCUUAGCGUGCAUGAGGUCCUGGGUUCCAUCCCCGGUAUCUCCU